UACGUAGGGGGCAAGCGUUGUCCGGAUUCAUUGGGCGUAAAGAGCGUGUAGGCGGCCAGGUAGGUCGGUUGUGAAAACUGGAGGCUCAACCUUCAGAGGUCGACCGAAACCAUCUGGCUAGAGUCCGGGAGAGGAGAGUGGAAUUCCUGGUGUAGCGGUGAAAUGCGCAGAUAUCAGGAAGAACACCCGUGGCGAAAGCGGCCCUCUGGAACGGUACUGACGCUGAGACGCGGAAGCGUGGGGAGCGAACAGG
rnacentral:rRNA from 1 species